UACGAGGGGGGCAAGCGUUGUUCGGAUUUAUUGGGCGUAAAGGGUGCGUAGGCGGUUUGGCAAGUCUUGUGUGAAAUCUUUGGGCUCAACCCAAAGCCUGCACAAGAAACUGCCGGGCUUGAGUAUGGGAGAGGUGAGUGGAAUUUCCGGUGUAGCGGUGAAAUGCGUAGAUAUCGGAAGGAACACCUGUGGCGAAAGCGGCUCACUGGACCAUUACUGACGCU
rnacentral:rRNA from 1 species